AUGUCUAGCUCAACUUCGGCCUCCUGCCAAUCAUGGCCGCACUACGGUCCAGUGCCGUUGACAAGAUGCCCCAAUUGCCCGCGCAUUGAGUCUCUGAAGCGUUUGGCUUGUGUGAAGGAGGAAAAUGGCAACCGUGGGCCCGAGUUCGUCAAAUGCUUGAGCAAGCCACAACCGGGGCAGGUUCUGAAGAAAUAUGGACAUUUCGAGUGGCUUGAUGAGUACGUUGAGAUGAUGAAACUGGAGGCUUCAACAUAG
rnacentral:rRNA from 1 species